UACGUAGGGGGCAAGCGUUGUCCGGAUUUAUUGGGCGUAAAGAGCGUGUAGGCGGCCAGGUAGGUCUGCUGUGAAAACUCGAGGCUCAACCUCGAGACGUCGGUUGAAACCACCUGGCUAGAGUCCGGAAGAGGAGAGUGGAAUUCCCGGUGUAGCGGUGAAAUGCGCAGAUAUCAGGAGGAACACCAAUGGCGAAGGCAGCUCGCUGGGACGGUACUGACGCUGAGACGCGAAAGCGUGGGGAGCAAACAGG
rnacentral:rRNA from 1 species